rnacentral:rRNA from 1 species
GACGAACGCUGGCGGCGUGCUUAGCACAUGCAAGUCGAACGGAAAGGCCCUGCUGUUGUGGGGUGCUCGAGUGGCGAACGGGUGAGUAACACGUGAGUAACCUGCCCUUGACUUUGGGAUAACUUCAGGAAACUGGGGCUAAUACCGGAUAGGAGCUCCUGCUGCAUGGUGGGGGUUGGAAAGUUUCGGCGGUUGGGGAUGGACUCGCGGCUUAUCAGCUUGUUGGUGGGGUAGUGGCUUACCAAGGCUUUGACGGGUAGCCGGCCUGAGAGGGUGACCGGCCACAUUGGGACUGAGAUACGGCCCAGACUCCUACGGGAGGCAGCAGUGGAGAAUAUUGCACAAUGGGCGGAAGCCUGAUGCAGCAACGCCGCGUGCGGGAUGACGGCCUUCGGGUUGUAAACCGCUUUCGCCUGUGACGAAGCGUGAGUGACGGUAAUGGGUAAAGAAGCACCGGCUAACUACGUG